UCACCAGGAAUGAAUUCUGAGCUCACGUUCUGGACCGCUGCCAGGAAGAAGGAAGCGGCGUUAGUAUAAAGAAUCACACAAAAGGCCGCAGGAAAUUGCCACCUCAUUCUACAUAUACACUGGGAGCUACUUCUUUGAGAGCCCCCAAGUUUAAAGGAAAAGCUCCCUUUCCUUUGGGGAGCCUACUGGGGACAAUUCCCCCACCUGACCCAGGACCCUAGAGGAAGAGGAAGACAGCAACAGAUGUGAGGAGGAGAAGGACCCCUCCCUGCCCCAUGCUCAGGGGCCUCUGAUCCCUAACCCAUUGAUGUUUCUUCAGCUGUAUGCCUUGGAGAUGUUGGCCAGGAGUGACCAACAAAGUGACUCCUCAAAGCUACGAAGAAGCAAGCCUGCCCCCAGACCUGGUGGUUCAGGACCAUGGAGAGCAUCCUACAUAGGUAAGGCCCUCUCCCAAAAGAAUUGGAUUGCCAGGAGAGAGUAGGAGAGAGCUGUGAGGUGGAAGUAAGGGAGAGAUAGUGGAGGGAAAGGCACAGACAAAAGUGAGGCUUAUUCCCAGCCUGGCCCUCCUAGCCUGGGUGACUCUGAACUGGGACUCAGAAAUACUGCUACCCUGGACCAAAGGCCCCCCACUACAACAUCAAAAAGAAUGGGAGGGGGGAGGGCAGCCUGGGCUCUGGGGUGUGAGAUUCUGGAGGACAGCUCUUGCUGGGAUGUUCUGGGAACCUUUGUACAUAGUGCACAAAGCUAAACAAAUGAAUAGAUUAGGGUUUGAGGUAUUUUUUUUUUCAAUUUUUUAAUUGUGGUAAAGUACUUGCACAUUUACCAUCUUAACCAUUUUUAAGUAUACAGUUCAGUGAUAUUAAAUACAUUCAGAUGAUAUUUUUUUCAAGCGAAUGGAAUUGCCCUUAGGCAGACUUUGGGAGGCUGCGUAGGUAUGUUAUGUGUACAUGAGAGAAGGGCAUAGUUACAACCCCUACAGGUGAGGGCUGCCCAAAGGUAGGGAAAGUAGGAGGUACGGACCAGGACCAGGACCUAUUAGGCCUGUUCAUUCUGGCAGCUGCAGGGUGGGUGUGAGGGGUCAGGAAGAGACUUCC
rnacentral:lncRNA from 1 species